GCCAACGUAGCUCAGUGGUUAGAGCAGCUGUUUUGUAAACAGCAGGUCAUGGGUUCGAAUCCCUUCGUUGGCU
rnacentral:tRNA from 1 species